rnacentral:rRNA from 1 species
GACGAACGCUGGCGGCGUGCUUAACACAUGCAAGUCGAACGAGUGGCGAACGGGUGAGUAACACGUGGGUGAUUUGCCUUGCACUUCGGGAUAAGCUUGGGAAACUUGGUCUAAUACCGGUUCGUGCAAGAUGAGCUCGCGGCCUAUCAGCUUGUUGGUGGGGUAAUGGCUACCAAGGCGCGAAGGGUAGCCGGCCUGAGAGGGUGUACGGCGACAUUGGGACUGAGAGACGGAGCAGACUCGUACGGGAGGCAGCAGUGGGGAAUAUUGCACAAUGGGGGGAAGCCUGAGGCAGCGGCGCCGCGUGUGGGAUGAAGGCCUUCGGGUUGUAAACUCCUGUCGACAGGGACGCGGUACCUGUAUAAGAAGCACCGGCUAACUACGUGCCAGCAGCCGCGGUAAUAC